rnacentral:tRNA from 1 species
CGGCAGGUAGCUUACUGGUUAAGAGCGUUGGGCUAGUAACCGAAAGGUUGCAGGUUCGAAUCCCCGAGCCAA